ACUCCUACGGGAGGCAGCAGUGGGGAAUAUUGCACAAUGGGCGCAAGCCUGAUGCAGCCAUGCCGCGUGUAUGAAGAAGGCCUUCGGGUUGUAAAGUACUUUCAGCGAGGAGGAAGGCGGUGAGGUUAAUAACCUCAUCG
rnacentral:rRNA from 1 species